GACGAACGCUGGCGGCGUGCUUAACACAUGCAAGUCGAACGGAAAGGCCCUGCUUUUGUGGGGUGCUCGAGUGGCGAACGGGUGAGUAACACGUGAGUAACCUGCCCUUGACUUUGGGAUAACUUCAGGAAACUGGGGCUAAUACUGGAUAGGAGCUCCUGCUGCAUGGUGGGGGUUGGAAAGUUUCGGCGGUUGGGGAUGGACUCGCGGCUUAUCAGCUUGUUGGUGGGGUAGUGGCUUACCAAGGCUUUGACGGGUAGCCGGCCUGAGAGGGUGACCGGCCACAUUGGGACUGAGAUACGGCCCAGACUCCUACGGGAGGCAGCAGUGGGGAAUAUUGCACAAUGGGCGGAAGCCUGAUGCAGCAACGCCGCGUGCGGGGUGACGGCCUUCGGGUUGUAAACCGCUUUCGCCUGUGACGAAGCGUGAGUGACGGUAAUGGGUAAAGAAGCACCGGCUAACUACGUG
rnacentral:rRNA from 1 species